rnacentral:rRNA from 1 species
UGGGGAAUAUUGCGCAAUGGGGGGAACCCUGACGCAGCCAUGCCGCGUGAAUGAAGAAGGCCUUAGGGUUGUAAAGUUCUUUCGGUAUUGAGGAAGGUUGAUGUGUUAAUAGCACAUCAAAUUGACGUUAAAUACAGAAGAAGCACCGGCUAACUCCGUGCCAGCAGCCGCGGUAAUACGGAGGGUGCGAGCGUUAAUCGGAAUAACUGGGCGUAAAGGGCACGCAGGCGGUUAUUUAAGUGAGGUGUGAAAGCCCCGGGCUUAACCUGGGAAUUGCAUUUCAGACUGGGUAACUAGAGUACUUUAGGGAGGGGUAGAAUUCCACGUGUAGCGGUGAAAUGCGUAGAGAUGUGGAGGAAUACCGAAGGCGAAGGCAGCCCCUUGGGAAUGUACUGACGCUCAUGUGCGAAGCGUGGGGAGCAAACAGGAUUAGAUACCCUGGUAGUCCACGCUGUAAACGCUGUCGAUUUGGGGGUUGGGGUUUAACUCUGGCGCCCGUAGCUAGUGAUAAUCGACCGCCUGGGGAGUACGGCCGCGGU